UGUGUGUGUGUGUGUAGGCCCGUGUGUCAAAAUAUCACCUGUGCUCCUCUUCUGACUACUACCAUGCCUUCCUCUCACCUCUGUCUCUCUAGGAUUCUCUCCCCUUUGUUAGGAACAACAAUGCAGGCCUCUGCCUUAAACUAUCACACCUGAACCACUACUGAAGCUCAGCAAAGUCAGGAUGCUUCAAUUCACCAAAUCCACCUUCUCGACAAGACCUGAACACAUCUGUAGAUGGUGGCCUUAUGUGAACCCAGGGGGCUGUGGUGUUUUGAGCCUGAGAUGUGGGCGAAUGUAUUACUUGGGCUUCUGCCAGAGUUCUGGGUGUUUGUUAUGAUCCAGCACAGAGAACCAGCUGGAGGGAAGUCCUUCAUGAGCCUAUGCCACCUCAGGUGAUUUCUAACACCUAAGAAGAGACUGCCAGGGCACUGGGUCACCCAAGGACCACCACUCCUGUCCUUCCACAGGCAAGCUGUGUCAGAUCAUUUAGUGGGUCUCGGGCAACGCUAGGGUGAUAGUACACACGGUAGAUGAAGUCCUGCCUGGGGAAACUCCCAUUUGUGUUUUUUUUAAUCUCUAGGCAUGCCAAGGGUACAUGAUGCACUCACACAACAUGCUUUUAUUAUUAUUUUUAAAUAAUGAUGUUCAGUUUUAAAAAACUUGAUUCUACCAGAGCAUCUGGUAGAUCCCAAGUAGUCCUGGAGUGAUGCUGGGUGAUGUGGGAAAAAGAGGUUGAACCUUUUUGUCCCUGCUUCUACUGGAUGUACAUGGACUCCUCAACUCCUUGAAGUUCGAGCUUUUUUGACCCAGAUUCUGGGUUCCAGAGCUGACCUAUGUGCUCUGACCUAGUUUUUGCAGUAGAUCCUUUGAUAAAAGGCACCUGAGAAGACUGACCUUUGGGCAGUUUACUCAUUUAAGUGUGAAUGAGAUGCAUAAGACUGCCCUUGCACCGCCCCUCCCCCAUCUCUGAGGACCCCUGAGACUGGAAGAAGCCACGCCUGCCUCAGUCAGGAAGAAGAAAGAUGAGUGAGAGCCUGCGCCUAUCAUCCUGUGUCCAACACUUUGCCUUUCCAGGCUGCUUUCCCCAACACCCUCAACC